CGGGGGAGGCCGGAUCCUGGGCUGUGUCCCGGCGCCCUGUGCCUCCGGUCUGUGCUGUUGGAUUCGUGCUCCCGGGCCGCGCAGCCCCCU
rfam:Canis lupus familiaris chromosome 3, whole genome shotgun sequence.